rnacentral:tRNA from 1 species
GCUUUUUAGUUUAAAAAAAAUAGUAAUUUUGUAAAUUAUUGAUGAGUGAAUUUUUCAAGAGCC